GCGGCAGGGGUAAGCGCUGAAAGCAUCUAAGCACGAAACCCCCCGCAAGAUCAGGUUUCCCCCAUGAGUCGUUCCAGAUGAGGACGUGGAUAGGCAACAGGUGUACGCGCAGCGAUGUGUUUAGCCGAGUUGUACUAAUUACUCAUACGGCUUAAGU
rnacentral:rRNA from 1 species